UCGUCUGAUCUGCAUUUAGAUUAAACUGGACCGACUGUCUUUUGGGCAGCUACUCCGGUAGCCGAAUCAAAGGCCCGUGGUUAACUGGCUUCUUGCAGAAAAUAAAAAACAGCUAAUGAGUGCAUCCCUUCGCUCCUCACACCGCUUCAUCCUCUCCCCGCCGCCACCCACGAUAGCAUCUCGUCCCUCCUUGUAUCCCCGCACGCCGAUGUCGCUGCCUACACCUCCGCAUCCCUCGUCCACCUCACGGCGCAAUCCUCCACCGUGGAAUCCGGUGCAGGACCGCGCCCAAGCGCGUGUACAACGGAGAGAUGGCGGCUGGUGGCGGCGGCCUGUUCAAGAUGUGAAGGCGGAAGGGAAGGUUGGUGCGAGGCUAUCCGACGACGGUCACCUAGAUGUGGCUGGUGGUGGCGGCGGAUUAAGGUGGGCGCGUUGGCAGGGCUUCUCUCCUUCCCCUCCUCCCAAUCUCCUCUGUGCACCCGCAUGAAGAGUAGCAGCAGCCGACAGCUGAUGCUCCUCCGACCUGACUGCACGGUGUCCAGCACCUCGCAACGCCAACCUACAGCCCGUCCGCCCGCCCCCAGCACCCAAUUCACACUCAUAUAUAUGUGGAUGUAGUGCGCAAUUUGAUUGUAUAUGAUACGAGGUAGUUAAAGUUGAUGCAAUAGUCAAUUUGAUUAGAGGAUGUACCAUGUUUGUAUGGCAGAGUAAGAGCCACCUCCGCCCACUAACCCGAUGCAGCAUCACUGUUGAACACCUGUACUCUGCCCCAACCAGCUCUCAUGGGGCACGACUCUGACCUUUACAGAUCUGGCAGGCGUCAUCUCGAGCACAUGGUAUUUCAGUUUUAAACUUGUCAUAUUUGUGUGCAUUGAGCAAACAGCAAGCCUCACACAGCUGAUUGGUUCCAUUAAUCUACAAUUGAUACGUGCAUAUGUGAAAAAGUUACAUAAGAUGCCUUGAGACAAUUUUGGUGGAUAAAAAGGAUAUCUGAACUACUUUUUACCGCAGUAACAUCUACUACCUCCGUUCGAAAAUAAGUGGGGUGGUUUUAGUUCAGUUUGAAAACUACGCCACUUAUUUCCUAACAAAGGGAAUACAUGUUUGUCUUCCUGGUCUUUUCUUAGAAUGCCAUAACAUGUAUUUAAGUCUGCAGUAUGCUCUAGAUGAUGCAUAGUAAAAAAAACCUACAUAACAUUUCUGCAAUUUCUGAUGGACAGAGACGAUAUCACCAAGUUAUAUUUACAAGAUGCAAAUGAAUGCAUUCUCCAUAAUAAUAGGUAAAAAUACUGUUUCAAAUAACUUAGAUGGGUAAGUUGGGUUUGUCCUUCCUAAUAACUAUUUAGUACAUGCUCUCCAUCUGCUCUCACGUAUGGAGAAUCAUAAUCACAUUGAAUCUAAUGAUCAGCCUUGGAUAGACUCUCAUAACUCAUGGAGAUCAUUGCAUAUUGACACACAAGCAGAUUGUCAAGAUUUGUCUGGCAAUACUGAUAUUUGUAAUCUUCUUGAGAGGUAAUUUUCCUCUAAUUCCCAGUAUAUAUUUUUGCAUAUUUCCACCUGUGCAUGCACUUAGGUUCACUCGUAGCAAAACUUAUUUUUAUGUAGACAAUACUGAGAUGCAAGUGUUCCGUAAAACUUUGCUAGCCUGCCAAUAAAAAGCCACUACAAGUUCGGCUUUGUAAAUAUAAUUUCUAAAUUUAACUCUUUGGUGCUUAUCUGCUUUGGUUACUAUUUUGGGAUUUUAUCUCCAAUGUUUAUGUAUGCAACUUGCCCGAUUCCACUAUUCGUGUAAUUGCACUUGUUCAAUUCUCCUUUUCAUAUAACUGCACCUCGUUUUAAUGAAUAUAUUACAGAUACUAAUGAAUGUCAUCCAAAGUGCUUUCCUCUUGGGUCUAUUGUAGAAGGAUUAGCUUAAUUUUUUUCACUUUACUUUCUUAGACAAGCAACUGAAAGUUUGAUUCCGCUUCAUGUCUUCCCGUUGCAAUAUUUGGUCCUUUGACCGGGAACGUUCUUCUUCCAAAAUGAAAGUGCUUCUGGAAUCGGCAACAAGGUUAACCUUGAGAUGAUGAUAGUAAUUGAUAUGGAUAGUUCGGAAUGUGAGAACAGACAAAAAAGCUAUUCAUUCUGCCUCAACAUACUUUGCAUCAUGUCGAUCCGGAUGACGAGACCAUACUAUCACACUACUUUGCUUUAGAGGAAGUGUUUCGAUGUCUACUCCUUCUAGCUACAUACUUCACAGAUAAUGGUAUGUGUUUACAGCUCUUGACUCACGUAGUCUCGGUGUAGUUCAUAUUGAUGUUCAGCUUUAGUUAUCAAUAAAUUUGCAUCAGUGCUUGUGUUUUGUACUUGACAGUACCACAUUAAUUCACAGUAAACAGGUUGAAAUCAUCUCUUCAAACUUAAAAUAUGAAAAAUUAACUUCGUUUAAUAUUUAUUAUGGAUGUACCUAUUGUUCUAUUGCAGAACUAGAAUGAGCGACAACUUGCAUCAUCAUAUUUCUUAUUUACAUUAUUCAGUUCAUACAUUUGAUAUGGCAAAAUUCACACUUGUAAUGAUCACACAUUACUCGUUUGCAUUUUCCACAUGUGAAAGCUAGGACAAGAAGCCGUCGACGAGCACCUGAGGCUCUACUUUGUUGCUAAUUAUGAUGAUUGAUGUGGUUGUGUGCCAUUGACAUUGACAACGUUACAUAAAUUCUGUUUUUUUUUGGUAAAUACUAAAAAGAAUCGGAUGCGAAGUAGUGCAAGUGAUGCUGAGAAGGUGGCCCACUGAAGCAAAAAAAGGGAAUUGGGUAUUAGGAGCACAAGGAAAACGCCAAGCUGUGGAGCCAUACCAAGGACAGUGCAUGCCCGACAGAGGUGAGGGAACACUAUGUAAACUAAGAUCACAACGUUUGAGACAGUGUGCAAUAUUAUGUUCAUGGAUGCUUCUAUUUA